rnacentral:rRNA from 1 species
GCGGCGUGCUUAACACAUGCAAGUCGAACGAUGAACCACUUCGGUGGGGAUUAGUGGCGAACGGGUGAGUAACACGUGGGCAAUCUGCCCUGCACUCUGGGACAAGCCCUGGAAACGGGGUCUAAUACCGGAUACUGACCCGCUUGGGCAUCCAAGCGGUUCGAAAGCUCCGGCGGUGCAGGAUGAGCCCGCGGCCUAUCAGCUUGUUGGUGAGGUAAUGGCUCACCAAGGCGACGACGGGUAGCCGGCCUGAGAGGGCGACCGGCCACACUGGGACUGAGACACGGCCCAGACUCCUACGGGAGGCAGCAGUGGGGAAUAUUGCACAAUGGGCGAAAGCCUGAUGCAGCGACGCCGCGUGAGGGAUGACGGCCUUCGGGUUGUAAACCUCUUUCAGCAGGGAAGAAGCGGAAGUGACGGUACCUGCAGAAGAAGCGCCGGCUAACUACGUGCCAGCAGCCGCGGUAAUACGUAGGGCGCGAGCGUUGUCCGGAAUUAUUGGGCGUAAAGAGCUCGUAGGCGGCUUGUCACGUCGGUUGUGAAAGCCCGGGGCUUAACCCCGGGUCUGCAGUCGAUACGGGCAGGCUAGAGUUCGGUAGGGGAGAUCGGAAUUCCUGGUGUAGCGGUGAAAUGCGCAGAUAUCAGGAGGAACACCGGUGGCGAAGGCGGAUCUCUGGGCCGAUACUGACGCUGAGGAGCGAAAGCGUGGGGAGCGAACAGGAUUAGAUACCCUGGUAGUCCACGCCGUAAACGGUGGGCACUAGGUGUGGGCGACAUUCCACGUCGUCCGUGCCGCAGCUAACGCAUUAAGUGCCCCGCCUGGGGAGUACGGCCGCAAGGCUAAAACUCAAAGGAAUUGACGGGGG